rnacentral:lncRNA from 1 species
AUCCCCUCUCUUUUAGUUUCCUAGGACAUGUGUCUAUCACAUGAAGCUCUGCUUUUCCUCGGGCAACUAGCAGUUGUUUCUCCCUCAUAUAUUAUAUAUCACGGUAAAUAAACUUUUUUUUUUGCUUUAAAAAUAAGAAGAUGAAGUAUAUGUAAAAGUUCUUAAUCUUCAUAUGGACUGUUGGACAACAUGAGGCUUUCUCUCUCAUUCUCUCCUAGAGAGAGAUUUCUCUCUCAGUUCCUCUUCCUCUUAUGAGGUUUGAGAUAGUUUUGAGAGUGUGAGGGAUCGCGUUUGUAGAGGUCCAGAGACUCCGGGAUGAUGAGGCUUUCAUAGAUCGUCAUCGUCGGUGUUUGACUCCGGGGAGUGGAGGUUUAUUCAACCUCGCGCCGCCGGCUUUGGUGGUUCGCCCCUUUUCUCUGUUGGGUGUGACACAACGGGUGGUGAAAAAAGGAAGUGAAGCUGAGGAAGGCAAUCGCUGGAAGAGGCGAUGGUGUUGAAGGGGUAUGCGUUUUAUACGCAUGAUCUGGACGUGAUCCGGUGUGUGUCGGAGAGAUGAAGCUGAUGAAACCCGAUACCUUUAAUACAGUUGUUAGAGGUGGGUUUCAUCGGAAAAUGGUGGAGAAUAGAGUUUCUCCGAUUUGGCUCUGGAAUUGACGCUUGAAUGAUUCGAUAAUCGCCGAUAUUUUCUUUGCUGGUGGUCAUCUUUGGCAUUGAAGGCUUGUAGUCGUCUGGUGUGUUUUCCGGCGAUACGAGGUCUCUGGCCGUGUCUCCGGCGAUGAAUUGAAGCGGUGCCGUUCAGGCGGCGAGGAAAGAAGUGGUGGAUGGGUGGCGCGUGUCCCUGCGUUUUGGGCUUUCUUCAGCACGUGGCGUUCAUGCUUCAUGAGGUGUCCGGACGCGUGUGUCGCGUUGACGGUGAAUCUCAACGCGUGGACGGUCACGUAUGUUUGGUUUACGCGCAUUUACGUUUGUGGGUCGAUUGGGCUUUAGGCCCAUUUGUUUCUGUUUUGUUACGUCCAUCUUGUGGGCUUUUAGUGUUUUUUCUGUGUUUUGGGUUUCGGCCCAGCACUUUAAUAAAAGAUGGAAAAAAAAAAUGUAAAAGUUCUUAAACAGCCAACAAAAGAAUUCGUGAUAUAAUACGAGGGAGAAACAACUGCUAGUUUUCAUCUGUUGGCUCAAUCUUUCGCCUCUAUCUCUUUUGUUUUUUUUUGACAACAUUUCUUUUGUUUUCAUUCAGCGUUUAGCAAAUGCUCAUGCUAUUCUUUAGCUAAAUCAGUGUUGUAUCACGUACGUUCUUCUACUCUCGAGUAGGUAAACAUCACUCUUAGUAUAAGUUUGUUUUGAUCAAAAAAAAUAUAUAUAUAGUGCUUCCAUAUCAUUUAUAUUUUCAUGUAUUCUAUAAGAAUGUCAUUUCUAAAUUUAUAGAAGUAAAUAGAAAAUAUCAUCUAUAUUUUCAUGUAAAAAAAAUCCUUUACUUUUGAACUUGUGCCUAGGAAAGCCUUAAGAGAAAUAAAAUUUCACUAAAUACUGAAAAAUGACAGCCAUAAAAACAAUCUAGAUCAGUUACAAAAAAAAAAAAAAAAAAAAAAUUUAAACGGAAAAAAAUCCUUUACUUUUGAACUUGUGCCUAGGAAAGCCUUAAGAGAAAUAAAAUUUCACUCAAUACUGAAAAAUGACAGCCAUAAAAACAAUCUAGACGGAAAAGAAACAAAAAUAGACAGAAGAUGAAGUAUAUGUAAAAGUUCUUAAACAGCCAACAAAAGAAUUCGUGAUUUAAUAAGAAUCUAUAGCGGGAAACUUAUACAAAAUGUAGAAAGAUAAAAGCUUCAAGUGGUGGUGGCUAUUAAAAUAAAUUAUGAUGAAUUUAUUGUUCAUCAGAUUUUAUACCAAUUAGGUUAAAAUUUUGUAAAAUUAUUGAUACAUAAACUUUCAUUUCAUUUUUUUCAUUUUUCAUAUUUGAUAAAUAAACUUUCAUUUAAAUAAUAUUAAAUAAAAUUUUAUUAUUUUUUAUCCAUCAAUCACCAAUCAAAUUAGUUUUUUUUUUUUAAAUGAGAAGAUAAGCUUAGCCAUUUUGUUGAUAAAUCAAAGAUAAAUAUCCCUUCUUAAGAAAUUACAAGUUAAGUUAAUAUCCCUACUAUACUCAUAAAUAUCCCUUGUUAAGAAAUUAAUCUAUAUCCCGUGAUAAUAAUGAAAAUGUUGAUAUUGAAUAUCAACUAGACUAAAAAGAGACUGUAAACACAAUUUGAAUAUAUAACUUGAUCAAUCAUAUUUUCAUCUAUUCAAACAAAACGAGAAGAGAGAGAAUCUAGAGGGAUACGACUCCUAUUUACAUCUUUUACACCUUUUUGGUAUGCGCCCAUUCAACAGGAUCAAAUGGUAUUCAACACUGAGUCGUUAUAAAAAACGUUCGCUCCCACCGAAUUUAAUUUAUAUGAGAAAAGAAAACACUAUUUCUUGCCUGCUUAUCAAGAGGAUCUGCACACACAUUUCUUGAUCUAAAAAUAUGAAAUAUGUUGAAUUCCAAAUAAACGCCAGCCAGUCAACAAGAUUAACAAUCAUCUCCACAUCAGAUUAUGUAAAUAUUUUGUAACAUUUUUUUUUGGUUUUGAGCCAUCAGACUCUAUGAACAAUUUGGAUUAUAACAAUAAAAUGUUUUUGUUCUGCAUAAUUUAGAUAACUAACCCCACAUCAGAUUAUUUAAAUAUUUAUCAAUCUUAGUUAUCUAUAUACAAAGUUGGUUUUAUUCUCUCCACAAACCUCCAGAUUAGUAAAUAAAUUAUCAUAUUUCUGAUAUGUCAGCAUGCCACAAAACAUCAUUUACACGAGAGUGAUUAAUGGGUUUGGCUGAUUUGUUUCAUUCAUAAUAUAUGAUUUUUGUUUGAAGAUUUUUUUUUUAUAAAUAUCAAUGAAAAUAUAAUUUUAAUUUAAUUUUUGCAAUUAUAAAUAAAAUAGAUUAAAUUUAAUUAAUUGCACCCUUUUGAUAAAGUUAAAAUUAUCUAAAUAUAUAAAGAUAACUUAUAGGAGUAUUGUGAAAUAACAAAAAAAACAAAACAAAAAGUUCUAAAAUAUGUUACACAUUAAAAGAGAGAAUAGAAUAUACUCGGUUAUGUAAAAUUGUUUAUUUUGGUUAUUUUGUUUUGUAGAUUUUCAAGAAGAACGAUUGAGGUUUUCAAUGGAGAAACAGACAUACUCCAAACUUUUCUUGCAAACUAUUUUUCUCUUCGUGCCCUUUUAUGAUUUCGAUAUAGGAGUUCACAUAUUAUAUGUUCUUAAUUACUUCAUAUUUGUUAUAACCUAUAUUCUAUAGUGAUUAAGAGUAUGGUGCAUAUCUCCACAAAUGUAUCUCAUUAAAAGAAAAUGAUACAACUCGAAGAGUUGACUAGAUUUUGACUCGCACGUUUGUGCAGAUAUUUUUUAUUUUAUAAAUAUAUUUGAUAUUAUUACAAAUGUAUUAAAUAUAUAUAAUUUUUAUUUCAGUGUUAUAUAUUGUACAACUCUAUAAUAUCUAAUCAAUUAAUUUAGGAUCAUGUUUUUAUCUACUAUUAAUAAGUCAUAGUAGGACCACUUAAAAAAUUAUUUAAUAUGUCAUAUUUGUUUAUUUACAUUAAUAAUAGCUCAACAAUAAAUUUAACUUUUUUUAAUUAUAAUAAUUUCUGUUGAGAAAGAAUCUAACCAAAAUAUUACUAAAGAUUUAAAUAUUUUUAUAAAAUAACACACUAAUUAAUUUUUUAAUUAAUAAUAUAAUAUUAUUAUAAAUCAGUGCUAAAUAAAAUUUUAUUUUAAAACAAGAAAACAAAAAUUAUAUACUAUAUAUUUAUAAAUUUUAUAAUUAUAUUCUAUAUUAUAUAAAAUAGAAGUGAUUUAUGAAUUAAAAAGGAAAAAAAUUAUAUUAAAUAAGUAAUUUAACAAAAUUUAUUUUUUAAAUUGUUUCAUUUAAAUAAAUUAUCACUUAUCAUUAAAAUGAGUUAAAUUCCUAAAAUAAUUAAUUCUUUUAUACAAAAAUAAAUUUACUAACAUAGGUUAAGCUUUUAUAUCUACAACUAGAUGAUAUCUUUUUAUUUAUUUUGAAACUCUCAACAAUAUAUUGUUUAAAAAUGUUUAUAAAAAAUAUAAUAGUAUAUAAUAACUUUUUAGUUCAUAUAAUAUGUUAUUAGAAAACUAUAAAACUUUCCUUAAACAUCAUCUAUUUUGAAACAAAGAAAUUAAUUUCUCAAGUAGUCUAACUAUGACUUGUUAAUAGUAGAUAAAAAUAUGAUCUAAAUUAAUAGAUUAGAUUACUCGACAACAAAUAUCAUAAAACGCGAUGAUUACAAAAAAAAAUUUAUAUCAUAAAAACACGAUGAUUACAAAAAGAUAUAAUUUAAGAAAAAAAGAUUGUGGAAAGUGGAAACGAAGAUCAAAUAGACAAAAGGGAAGCGUCUAGUGUCACUAAAAGUAAAGAAAAACAUCCAUAUCGAUAGUGACUGUAACAGUUGUGUUAAGUAUUGGACGAGUGUUUUUUUUCAAGUAUUGGACGAGUUGAAUAUAUUCGUGCUGAUACUAUAUAAAAUAAUAAUUAAAAAUCAAGACAAGCGCAGACUAUCUUUUGUUUCUUGUUCAUUUUCCUUUGUUAAUCCUAUGAAAAUGUUUUUUCAUGCACGAAUUUGCCUUGAUACAAUCAUAUAACUUGAAUUUUUGUUGGGCUCUUGAUUAUUACAUACGCACCACCUUUUGGCGAUAGUGGUCUCAUAUAUAAUACGUCAUGUGUGUGCGCGCGCAUCAGUGCCCCUAUGGUGUUUGGAGAGCUAGAAGAUUCUAUUCUAAUCUCUAAAGUGAACUAAAGUUUGAAACCACGAAUGGCUUCUUUCAUCACAUGACUUCUCUGCUUCUUCUAAAAUCUAAUGAAUAAGAUAAUAAUUCACAUUCAUGUUUUCAAAAUUAGAACGUGAAGGGUAAAACAAAGAGAAAAAUACAAAUCGAAUGGCGUGAAACUAUAAGUCUAAUUUAUAACCCGAGACACGUGAAUCUCCAAAAGUUCACAAAGCGAAUAAGGAUAAAAGGAAACAUCUGCACCCAAAAGUUCUUUUUUAAUUAAACACAUAUUUUAUAUAUUUCCGCAAGAUGUUUUCAUCCUCUUUUGUUUGAUUAUAUCUCUUUAUAUUUUGUCCCCAAAUACAAAUUAAUAAUGUAAAUAAUAUACAAUUAUAACACUUGGGAAGACUUAAAAUCAUGUGGUAUGUACGACAAGGUGGGUACCCCUACAAGGUUUUCUCUCGUGUCUCUUCUACUUGCUUCCUUCUUUUGUCUCAUUCAAGAACUUAUUCAAUGGCACGAGUUUCCAUGCUUUUGCUUAAAUAUGUUCUCUGACAACUUAGUACUAUUACUAAAAAUAUUUUGUAAUAAGAAAUUUCAUAAGAAAAUUAGACAUAUGAAUCAAAUUUAUUCUUUAAUUGCAAAUUAUUACAAGAUAAAUACAUCAAAUAUAUUUCAUGCAUUUGAAUCAUGGUCUUUCGUUAUUCACAUGCAGACAUAAUUACCAUUUUAGUUUGCAGAAUCUUAAAACUUUAUUUAUGUGGCUGACAAAAAAAAGAAUCAUAAACUUAUUUAAAAAAUGUUUUCCAAUUUGAAAAAUACACUUAAAUUAUGUAUCAACCGAAACUGUCAAAUAGGUCAUCAAUAUAGCGCUAGUUGUUCGUACCAAACUGCAUUCAGAUUUAUAUUUGGGUCGCUCGUUGGACUGCCAUCUACACGUCAGAUAUAGUAAGACCGACAGGUCGUAUGUUUGGUAUAAUUAUAUGCAUGAUUUUUUUUCUUUUUUUUCUUAUUAGGGGAUGUUGGAGCUGAGCUCCAAACAAUUUUCAGGGGUUGAUACCGACUAGUAAGCAGUAGCUCAGUUUUACGUUUUGUUUUUAGAUAAAUCUUAAGGCAUAUAUAGUUAUAUGUUUGUCUCUUUAAGAGGCAUAUAUCUUUCCAGUACCGAGUAUUUACGCUAAUAUGGAUUAUCUCUUUUGGAGAAAGAACAUCAUUGUUGAGCUAGAUUUAGACAUACAUCCUUAUCCCUGAAUAAUCUGGUACAUUAAAGAUGAAUAGCUAUAUUCAGGUGGUUUGGUGAACAAGACAAGUUUGGUGAACAACGCAGUUUUUCAUAUGAUUAGUUUUAGGUUUUAACCAAUUAAAGAUGAAUAGCUAGAUUCAGGUGGUUUCUCAGGUAUGACAAGUUAUGCUUUCUAUAAAUUAUUACGAGUUUAUAAAUGUUAAUUGUUCUUGAACUCAAACUUAAAUUAUAAUCUAUCAACUUCUGUUUGUUUAGAUUAUCUGUUGUCUAAAUCUCAGAUUUCAACUCUCGUUUGUUAAUCAUGAGAAAGUGUCGAUCAAUGUUAUAUUUGAAUGUCGAUCGAUACAUAUUUCAAAACGUCAAUCGAUAUCACUACCGUCACGUCGAUCAAUGUUUAUUAUAGCAGGCUUUACGAGUGGGUUUGAUAGGUUCUCUAGUCUCCUAGACCAACUUUCGUGUGUAUCUAGUUAAUUAGAUCAUACUAGUUUAGUUUCAGGUAAUUAACCAAGCUUCCGCUUGCGCCAAUUAAUCCUAAGAUCUAAGUUUAGGGUGAUCAAGCAUAGACUUAGCAGUAAGAACAACUAGAUGAAGAACUAUUUACGUUUCUAAUUAAUAUUCAUUUUAGCAAUACAUAUAUCAACUUUUGAAGAACCCUAAAUCUAACAGUACGACUAUUCAGACAUAUUCAUAAGAAAUAUUAUGAAGGUCUGAAUAAUACUCAAUAAUAUAAAUAUGAAAAGCAAACAAAAUAGAGUAAUAGAACAAGGGAGUUUAAGAUCUUCUCUUUUUAUGUAGUUCAGAUCUCUCUCCAAUCCUAAGCUCUAUUCCUCGUGUAGAAAUUUCUGCCUCCAAAAGUAUCUCUCUCUAAAAGUUUGUGUCUAGGUAAAACAUAAAAAACCCUAAUAAUUAGCCUAACAGGCGGCAAAAGACUUAUGGUGCAAAUCUUGAAACUUCCGGAUAAAAGUCAUAAUUUCCUUAAGUUGGCUUUGCGGAUGGCUUGCCGUCGAUCGACGUUGAUAUUGAUCCGUCUAUCGAUGUUUUCUUCAAUAAUCGACUCUUCUUUGAUGUUUUCAGCAAUGCUUUCAUAAAAUCUCCAAAUUGCCCCAAAAUCUCCAAAUUGCCCCAAAAUCAUCACUUUACUCCAAUAGGUACAUGAACCUGUAAUUACUCUACAAGACUCCAAAAUGCAUAUAAAAUACUCUAAAAACAUAUAUACAUCAUUGGUAAAAGUGGUUAAAAUCUAAGACAUAUCAUGUAGUCAAGGUCGUUCUAAUAUAGCGUAGAAGGGGUGAAAUGCUUUGUUACUGCAAACACGGCCUUGAGUUGGAGGUUGCAGAUUUUCACGAUCAGUGACGCAGUUCCUAACGGUUGUACCAUGACUCCAGUGUUGUUCCGUGAGUCAUUAUGGGAUCUGGAUAUCUGAUUGUUUUGAAGGCUUCUAGUGAGAGGAUGUUACUUGCACUCCCGGUGUUGAUUAGAAUAUUCGAGAAGGUGGACCCUCCUAACUUCUUCAGCACGUGGCGUUCAUGCUUCAUGAGGUGUCCGGACGCGUGUGUCGCGUUGACGGUGAAUCUCAACGCGUGGACGGUCACGUAUGUUUGGUUUACGCGCAUUUACGUUUGUGGGUCG